AACGCACAUUGCGCCCUUUAGUAUUCUUUAGGGCAUGCCUGUUCGAGCGUCAUCUCCACCUCCAAGCCUGGCUUGGUCUUGGGCGUCUGUCCCGCCUCCGCGCACGGACUCGCCUCAAAUGCAUUGGCAGCUGUUCGUGAGCUUCAAGCGCAGUAGAAACGCGCUUUUGGAGCGAUCGGCCGGCGUCCACAAGCGAAAUACCCUCUUGUUUGACCUCGAAUCAGGUAGGACUACCCGCUGAACUUAA
rnacentral:misc_RNA from 1 species